rnacentral:rRNA from 1 species
AUACGGAGAUGGCAACCGUUGUUCGGAAUUACUGGGCUUAAAGAGCACGUAGGCGGGAAAAUAAGUUGAUUGUGAAAUCCUCUGGCUUACCCAGAGAACAGCAGUCAAAACUGUUUUUCUUGAGUUCAGAAGGGGAGAGUGGAACUCCUGGUGGAGCGGUGAAAUGCGUUGAUAUCAGGAGGAACGCCGGUGGCGAAAGCGACUCUCUGGUCUGUAACUGACGCUGAGGUGCGAAAGCUAGGGGAGCAAACGGGAUUAGAAACCCCGGUAGUCC